CUCGGUGAUUUGAGCGAGCCGGUCCGACCCGAUCCCAUUCCGAACUCGGAAGUCAAACGGCUUAGCGCCAACAAUACCUGUCUCUAAAGGGACCGGGAAAAUAGGUCAUCGCCGGGG
rnacentral:rRNA from 1 species